rnacentral:rRNA from 1 species
GGGCCCGCACAAGCGGUGGAGCAUGUGGUUUAAUUCGAUGAUACGCGAGGAACCUUACCAGGGCUUAAAUGCAGAAUGACAGAUUGGGAAACCAGUCCUUCUUCGGACAUUUUGCAAGGUGCUGCAUGGUUGUCGUCAGCUCGUGCCGUGAGGUGUCAGGUUAAGUCCUAUAACGAGCGCAACCCCUAUUCUUAGUUGCCAGCGGGUAAUGCCGGGAACUCUAAGGAGACUGCCAGCGCAAGCUGCGAGGAAGGUGGGGAUGACGUCAAAUCAUCACGGCCCUUACGUCCUGGCUACACACGUGCUACAAUGGAUGGUACAAUGGGCAGCCACUACGCGAGUAGGAGCU